UGCCGCGUGAGGGAUGAAGGYCUUUGGGUUGUAAACCUCUUUUSUCAGGGACGAUAAUGACGGUACCAGAGGAAUMAGCAUCGGCUAACUCCGUGCCAGCAGCCGCGGUAAUACGGAGGAUGCWAGCGUUAUCCGGAAUUAUUGGGCGUAAAGGGUGCGUAGGUGGYUWWUCAAGUCCCAUGUSAAAGCAUGGUGCUUAACSCCAUAAAGGCGUGGGAAACUGAAUAGCUAGAGUACAGCAGGGGCAGGAGGAAUUCCCGGUGUAGCGGUGAAAUGCGUAGAUAUCGGGAAGAACACCAKUGGCGCAAGCGUUCUGCUGGGCUGUAACUGACACUGAGGCACGAAAGCUAGGGGAGCGAAAGGGAUUAGAUACCCCUGUAGUCCUAGCCGUAAACGAUGGACACUAGGUGUAGGCAGUAUCGACCCUGUCU
rnacentral:rRNA from 1 species